ACGUGACAACGUCCUCGCGUCGGGAGCGUCUUGAGUUUGAAGCGGGAGAGAUAGUCCGGGUUCUGCGGUUUGCUCUUCUGAGUCUUAGGAAGACGCUUUGGGUCUUGGGUUUUCUCGUUUGCAAAAUAGCUCGGUUGCGGUAGAGCUUCUUCCAGAAUUUGUUCACGUAAAAACAGAAACUCUUAUUUGGAGGAAGCGGGGGGCGGGGUAGGCAAACCUGUUAAUGUUAAAUCAGCCUUUUUGUACUUGAGGGGAAUUGUCGCUGCACGUAACUAACGGUAUUUUAUAGUUUCCAAAUGGUUUUCACAUCAAUGUCUCGUUAAAAACGCCUUACUACGCUGACAUAUGGGCGGGAGUCAACUUGACCUGCUUUUUCGUUAUAAAAAUUACCCUCGGAGAGGAUGCGGACUGAAAGUUGAAAUUGUCGACCCGAAAGUUGACAAUUGCGUUUUAUUCGCACACUUGCUGAGGACCUAAACCUGGGAUGUAGCGGCUCAGAUCUCUCCGAGGGACUGUUCUGAAGAGGUAAGGAAAGAGAGAGAGAUAGGAGAUUUUGCGAUAAACAAAAAAACCUGGUAAUGAACAUUGAAAGCUUACUGCUGAUUGAAGCAAAAACAGACAUAUCAAAUUAAUAAAUUUAGCCCUUUUCUAACGAUGGGAAGGUGUGAGAAUCUGGGCUUUUUGAAACCAUUUCUGUAACAUGCACCUUAACUAUAUAGGGGCAGUAUCCUGUUCUUCUCCAUCCUAGGUCCCCGUAGGGUACACCUUUGGGGUGGCUGCAGGGACUGAUGGCUUGAUGGCCUCAACAUCCCUUGUUAAAUGAGAUGGUUGGCAACAUUCUGGGUCCACAGAGAUAACUGCGCAGUGUCGCAUCGCUAGACCGAAACCCAGAUUUUCGCCCUCCAAAUCCUGCAUUCCGGGCCCUGCUUACAGUGGACCCUUGAACAAGUCUGGGGUUAGGGCCGGAAAGUUCGAGUAGAACUUCCCAGGAGGUCGUCUAUAUUGCAGUCCUCAUCUGUGGGCUCAGCCAACCACAGAGUACUCACUGCGACCUUGAAACUUCAACGCUAAGCCUUGGGCUUUUACAGUGACAGAUGGACAUCACUGGGGUACCUACGUAUCAAACCUCGGCGGAAAUUAGUGGCUUAACACAAUAAAAACUUUAUCAGGCAUCCGUGAGGUAACGUGGCUCAGCUGAGCCGUUCUAGCUUGGGAAAGCUCCUGAGCUGCUCCAAGCAGUACAAGAGGAAACUGAAGGGCAGGACUUCGUAGGCUCUACCCUGAGGGUCCUCGAAGUUCCCUGUCACAUUUUGUUGGCCAAGGAAGCCACUAAGGACAGAUGGAGAAGAAGAAUGGUAAGCGUCUCCCUCUCAGUGGAAGGAGGAGCUUGUGCCAACUCCAGUUUACCGUACUGCCUUAUUUGUGUGUUGGUUUUUAGUUAUUUUGGAUGAAUGUAGAUUUUAUUAGCACAAGCGUCCGAAAAGAAGCCCACCAUGUUUUCUUUUUAAUAGUGGUUAAAAUAUACAUCACGUAAAAUUUACUGUGUUGAUGUGCGCAGUGGCAUUAGACCACCACCCACCUCCAGAACUUUUCCAUCUUCCUGAGUUGAAACUGUGUAGCCCCUAAGAAGGCACCCCCAUUUUCCCCGCCGCGCCACCCCAACCCCCGGCAACGCCCAUUCUGCUCUGUCUCUGUGCCCCCGGAAGUGGACUCAUACAACACGUGUCCUUUUGCGUUCAGCGUUUUCCGCUGAGCAUCGUGUCUUUGCGGUUCAUUCACGCUGUGACAGGUGGCAGGCGUGUCUUCCUUUUGAAGGCUGAAUGAUACUGAAUUAUAGGGAUCUCGUAUUUUGUUCCCUCAUCAGUGGGCAUUUGGGUUGCAUUCCACAUGCCUAUUGUGAAUAGACGUUUGUGAAUAAUACUUUCGGGGACAUAAGGGAGCAGGUACCUUCCAGAUCCAGCUCGCCAUUCUUCUGGAUGUAUGCCUAAAAGCGGGAUGGCUGGGACAUAGGUCAUGUUGAAUUUUGCUGCAGCAGUCGCACCAUCGCACCGUCGUACGUGCUCGCCAACAGUGCGCGAGAGUUGCACUUUCGCCGCAGCCUUGCUCGCGUUGGUUUUUUGUGAAGUCAUGUUUGGGAUCCACUUUGAAGACUGCCUGGCACACAGCACAUACUCCACGGAGGUCAGCUGUUAAUAUUUGAUUGUUGGGAAGCCGCCUUUUCUUGCUGCUGCUCGGCUGUGUUAGAGGUUGCACGGGCUCUCGGCUCUGAAGUUGUGUGUGAUGUUUCUGAAGUCGCUUUCAAAGCAUCUUAGAUUCUCCCAAGGUACAUAACUGUGAAUGGUAUGUACAGGGGAACGAGUUUGAAAGCCAAGCACAGCGGGGUAGAUGAAGCAGGGAAAAAAAAAAAAAAGACAAGACUGCUUGUAAACCUGAGCUCUUUAAUAAACACAAGCUCUGAGGAAGCACAAAGGAAGACGACCCUUUGCUUUUCCGUUUCCGUUUGGACCACACUCAAGGUCAAGGUUAUUUCUCAAGAAAGUGGAAAGAUUAGAAAUGAAGCUUCGGAAGCUCAAAAAGCUUUUUCUUUUUCUUUUUUAACAAUUAACUGUGUUGUGUUUUCCCUGUCGCUACAUCCAGUGCACGUUUUAGAGCCUGAUCUCCAGAGGUGUGAGAGUAG
rnacentral:lncRNA from 1 species